rnacentral:rRNA from 1 species
GGUGAAAAGCACCCCGGAAGGGGAGUGAAAUAGAACCUGAAACCGUGUGCUUACAAGUAGUCAGAGCCCGUUAAUGGGUGAUGGCGUGCCUUUUGUAGAAUGAACCGGCGAGUUACGAUUUGAUGCAAGGUUAAGCAGUAAAUGUGGAGCCGUAGCGAAAGCGAGUCUGAAUAGGGCGUUUAGUAUUUGGUCGUAGACCCGAAACCAGGUGAUCUACCCUUGGUCAGGUUGAAGUUCAGGUAACACUGAAUGGAGGACCGAACCGACUUACGUUGAAAAGUGAGCGGAUGAACUGAGGGUAGCGGAGAAAUUCCAAUCGAACCUGGAGAUAGCUGGUUCUCUCCGAAAUAGCUUUAGGGCUAGCCUCAAGUGAUGAUUAUUGGAGGUAGAGCACUGUUUGGACGAGGGGCCCCUCUCGGGUUACCGAAUUCAGACAAACUCCGAAUGCCAAUUAAUUUAACUUGGGAGUCAGAACAUGGGUGAUAAGGUCCGUGUUCGAAAGGGAAACAGCCCAGACCACCAGCUAAGGUCCCAAAAUAUAUGUUAAGUGGAAAAGGAUGUGGCGUUGCCCAGACAACUAGGAUGUUGGCUUAGAAGCAGCCAUCAUUUAAAGAGUGCGUAAUAGCUCACUAGUCGAGUGACACUGCGCCGAAAAUGUACCGGGGCUAAACAUAUUACCGAAGCUGUGGAUUGUCCUUUGGACAAUGGUAGGAGAGCGUUCUAAGGGCGUUGAAGCAUGAUCGUAAGGACAUGUGGAGCGCUUAGAAGUGAGAAUGCCGGUGUGAGUAGCGAAAGACGGGUGAGAAUCCCGUCCACCGAUUGACUAAGGUUUCCAGAGGAAGGCUCGUCCGCUCUGGGUUAGUCGGGUCCUAAGCUGAGGCCGACAGGCGUAGGCGAUGGAUAACAGGUUGAUAUUCCUGUACCACCUAUAAUCGUUUUAAUCGAUGGGGGGACGCAGUAGGAUAGGCGAAGCGUGCGAUUGGAUUGCACGUCUAAGCAGUAAGGCUGAGUAUUAGGCAAAUCCGGUACUCAUUAAGGCUGAGCUGUGAUGGGGAGAAGACAUUGUGUCUUCGAGUCGUUGAUUUCACACUGCCGAGAAAAGCCUCUAGAUAGAAAAUAGGUGCCCGUACCGCAAACCGACACAGGUAGUCAAGAUGAGAAUUCUAAGGUGAGCGAGCGAACUCUCGUUAAGGAACUCGGCAAAAUGACCCCGUAACUUCGGGAGAAGGGGUGCUCUUUAGGGUUAACGCCCAGAAGAGCCGCAGUGAAUAGGCCCAAGCGACUGUUUAUCAAAAACACAGGUCUCUGCUAAACCGUA